UUUGGGAAAUGCAUCGAUAGAAGCAUUAAGUACAAGAUACAGGAGGUGAUAGUAUCUCUCUACUCAGCACUGGUUAGGCCUCAUCUGAAGCAUUGGGUACAGCAU